UGGGGAAUAUUGGACAAUGGGCGCAAGCCUGAUCCAGCAAUGCCGCGUGUGUGAAGAAGGCCUUCGGGUUGUAAAGCACUUUUAUCAGGAGCGAAACGCUGUCGGCUAAUACCCGGCGGAACUGACGGUACCUGAGGAAUAAGCACCGGCUAACUUCGUGCCAGCAGCCGCGGUAAUACGAAGGGUGCAAGCGUUAAUCGGAAUUACUGGGCGUAAAGCGUGCGUAGGCGGUUUCUUAAGUCUGCUGUGAAAUCCCCGGGCUCAACCUGGGAAUGGCAGUGGAUACUGGGAGGCUAGAGUGUGUCAGAGGGUGGUGGAAUUCCCGGUGUAGCGGUGAAAUGCGUAGAGAUCGGGAGGAACAUCAGUGGCGAAGGCGGCCACCUGGGACAACAUUGACGCUGAGGCACGAAAGCGUGGGGAGCAAACAGGAUUAGAUACCCUGGUAGUCCACGCCCUAAACGAUGCGAACUGGAUGUUGGUCUCAACUCGGAGAUCAGUGUCGAAGCUAACGCGUUAAGUUCGCCGCCUGGGGAGUACGGUCGCAAGACU
rnacentral:rRNA from 1 species